GGACCUAUAACUCAGUUGGUUAGAGUAUCCGGCUCAUAACCGGACAGUCUUUGGUUCAAGUCCAAAUAGGUCCACCA
rnacentral:tRNA from 1 species